rnacentral:rRNA from 2 species
UGAUGGAGACACGCCGCGUGAGUGAAGAAGGGUUUCGGCUCGUAAAACUCUGUUGUUAAAGAAGAACAUAUCUGAGAGUAACUGUUCAGGUAUUGACGGUAUUUAACCAGAAAGCCACGGCUAACUACGUGCCAGCAGCCGCGGUAAUACGUAGGUGGCAAGCGUUGUCCGGAUUUAUUGGGCGUAAAGCAAGCGCAGGCGGUUUUUUAAGUCUGAUGUGAAAGCCUUCGGCUUAACCGAAGAAGUGCAUCGGAAACUGGGAAACUUGAGUGCAGAAGAGGACAGUGGAACUCCAUGUGUAGCGGUGAAAUGCGUAGAUAUAUGGAAGAACACCAGUGGCGAAGGCGGCUGUCUGGUCUGUAACUGACGCUGAGGCUCGAAAGUAUGGGUAGCAAACAGGAUUAGAUACCCUGGUAGUCCAUACCGUAAACGAUUGAAUGCUAAGUGUUGGAGGGUUUCCGCCCUUCAGUGCUGCAGCUAACGCAUUAAGCAUUCCGCCUGGGGAGUACGGCCGCAAGGCUGAAACUCAAAGGAAUUGACGGGGGCCCGCAC